rnacentral:tRNA from 1 species
GGGGAUUUAGCUCAGCAGCGGCCUAAGCACCUGCCUUACAAGCAGGCAGUCGUGAGUUCAAUCCCCG